rnacentral:lncRNA from 1 species
UCAUUGGUGGCUCCUCAUCUACCGGGAAUGCCGAAGCUUCUUCAGAGGUUCCAAGGGGAAGCACUCCUUCGAGCGCAGAAGGCACCAUUACUUUAGAGGGUGCACCCCGUAGCUAUCAACCUGGUUGAGUUGAUAGGUGAUAAACGAUCAACUCAACCAGGCUUGGCUAGGAUUGCUAGUCUGACAGAGUUGUCUGAAGGUUGUCCUCCUAUGCCUAGUGAUUCGCUUGCUCUAGAAAAUAAGGAGGAGCUUAGUGCCGAGGAGUUGGACCAGUUGAGAGU